rnacentral:lncRNA from 1 species
UGGAAAAUAACUCAACACAGCCCGAUACCGGGGUGUCACUAGUCAUGAGCAUCUAUAAGUCAUAAUACAAGUCUGCUAAGUCUAUAAGCUAGUACAAAUGUCUGAUCAGAAAUAGAAAUGAUAAAGAGGGAGAAACACAGGUCUGCAGAUGUCAAGCAACUACCUCGUGAACUCCGAAUGUACGCUGGGAGCUCUCAACUCGCACUGGCAGGAUCAACAAUGCCUAAAUCUGCACACAGGGGUGUAGGGAGUAAAGUGAGUACUCCAACUCAGUGAGUAACAAAUGUAAAUAAAGACUAAAAGCAAGAAAUCACGUAAAGCACAAAGCGUUCUAUAAUGAAGCAGUAGGCUUUUCAUGAAACUACGUUUGAGUUAAGGAAUUUUACCUAUCUUUCACUGAUUUACUGAUUUUAAAUGGUUUUUUUCAAUAAUUAAGUAGGAAAUUGACAAUCAAUUGUGAAAAGUAAACACAUAAAGGCUCGCCCCUCAGGCACAGUAUCAACAAAUUCGCCCCUGAGGCAACAUCUCAAAAUAGUACCAGCCCCUCGGGCAAUCACAUAGCACAAUACCAGCCCCUCAGGCUCAAUCUCACAUCACAAUGGGUACCCGUGCUCACUGGGAGUGUACAAACUCCUAGAGGGGGCCAUUACGAUCCAAGCGCAAUAUCAAGCCACCUCGUGGCAUCAUCACUAGGCCCUCGACCUCAUAUCAAUCAAGCCAGCUCGCAACGUACAUAUCUCAUGCCCUCGGCCUCAUAAUCGGUAUCAAAUGUUUCCUCACAACAUAGGCCUUCGCCCUCACUCAGUCAAAAAUCCUCACAAGCCACUCAGGAAAUAGUAAAACAUGAUUCUUAGCCCAAAAAGGUCAUUUAAAAGAUCAUAUAAGUGUUAAAAUAGAGUAAACAUGGCUGAGUACGAAAAGAGUGAAAUAUAACAUGAUUGAGUUCAAGUACAAAGUCAAAAUAGUGAGGAAACACUAGUAAAAAUACCCGAAGGGUUCAAAUAGUUGGCACAAGGCCCAAAUAUGGCAUUCAGCCCAAAUCAUUAUGAUAGCAAAUAGAUUUCAGUCAAAUACGCAGUAAAGUAGUCAUUCAGGACGGACCAAGUCACAAUCUCCAACAGUGCACGACCCCACGCUCGUCAUCAAGCAUGUGCGUCACCUCAAUAUAGCACAACGAUGUGCAAGUCCUGGGUUUCAUACCCUUAGAACAUCAUAUACAAUCAUUAAUCACCUCGAACCGGUCAAAUUUCUAGCUCGCGAUGCCUUUGCCCCUCGAAUCGGCCUCCGCUCGCGUCGAAUCUAUCAAAAAUCAGAAGGAGGAUGCCAAAAUAUGCUAAUGGAAUGAAGCCCAAGCAAAAAUAAUUAAUAUGCGACACAAAAUCCCGAAAUUACCAAAACCUGACCCCCGGGCCCAAGUCUCGGAAUUCGAUAAUUUUUACAAUAAUAGAUUCCUUAUCUCCUCACGAGUUCAUACAUAUAAAAAGUUCUGAACUCUGACCUAAAAUGGUCCUUCAAAUUCUCAAUCAAAAGUGUAANNNNNNNNNNNNNNNNNNNNNNNNNNNNNNNNNNNNNNNNNNNNNNNNNNNNNNNNNNNNNNNNNNNNNNNNNNNNNNNNNNNNNNNNNNNNNNNNNNNNNNNNNNNNNNNNNNNNNNNNNNNNNNNNNNNNNNNNNNNNNNNNNNNNNNNNNNNNNNNNNNNNNNNNNNNNNNNNNNNNNNNNNNNNNNNNNNNNNNNNNNNNNNNNNNNNNNNNNNNNNNNNNUGAUUCCCCUUGAAUACCUCUUCAAUCCCCUUCAAAAAGCUCCAAAAAUGACCAACAACGGGAGAAAUAAACCCCAAAAUCGCAGACAAGACGAGUAUUUAAACAUUCUGCCCAGGCCUUAAUUCCUUCUUCACGAACGCGGUGAAAGCCUCGCGCUCGCGAAACAUAAAAUGAAUUUGACCAAAAAUCCUCUUACGCGAAAGCGACAUGCCCAUUGCGAAAGUGAUAGCUCCUCAGAAUUACUCUUCGCGAAUGCACUCCCUCUCUCGCGAACGCGAUGAACAACUCGACCAAAAACCCAGCCGACCAAUAUUUUCCUCUACGCAAACGCGCUCCCCUUCUCGCGAACGCGAUGCACAAACAUCCAGCCCUUCGCGAGCGCGUAGCCUUUCUCGCGAACGCGAAGGCUUAAAUCCGAGCCUUCAUCAACUGAACCUUCACGAACGCGAGGACCCACUUGCGAACGUGAAGGUCUAAAUCUUCUGCAACACACAUCAGUUUUCUGCAAUUUUCAAUAUCAUGAAAUGGUCAGAUUGACCGCCCGAAACUCACCCGAGGCCCCCGGGACCUCAACCAAACAUUCUAACAUAUCCCAUAACCUCAUUCAAACUUUUUCCAACCUUCGGAAUGCUCAAAACAACAUCGAAACAUCAAAUUCACAUUGGAUUCAAGCCUAAGAAUUCCAAAAUCUUCUAAAUUACGCUUUUGAUCAAAAAUCCAACCAAACCACGUCUGAAUGACCUGAAAAUUUGCACACACAUCCCAGUUGACACAAUGGAACUACUUCAACUCUCGAAAUUCCAUUUCGAACCCUAUAUCAAAAUCUCACCUACCAACCGGAAAUCACCAAAAAUCCACUUUCGCCAAUUUAAGCCUAAAUCUACUCCAGACCUCCAAAACUCAUUCCGAUCAUGCUCCUAAGUCUCAAAUCACCCCCGAAGCUAUCCGAACCAUCGGAACUCACAUUUGAUCCCUCUAACACAUAAGUCAACAUCCAAUUGACUUUUCUAGCUCAAGCUUCCUCAAAAGUGACUAAGUGUCUCAAACCUUACCAAAAUCAUUCCAGAUUCGAUCCGACCAACCUGAUACCACAUAACACGGAUAAACAAAGCAUAAAGAAGCAGAAAUGAGGUAAAUGGAGCGGUAACUCAUGAGACGACUGGUCGGGUCUUCAUAGAAAGGGAUUCAAAGAAAAUAAACAAUGGAAUAGACAAUGAAUUUAGACAAGAGGUAUCCCUUUCGGGGAAAGGAAAGAAGGACUUAUCUGGAGUACAUGCGGACUUCAAUGAACGUGACAUGCCUUUUGGACUGGAUGCAUGAUCUGUGUAAACCGUACGACUCUUAGAAAUUCAUCACAACUUUUGCCUCAGAACUGAGAAACCUUGCCCAGGACUGUGUUGACGCUCAUGGCCAUGAAGAUCCUCUUUUCGAUCAAUGGUGCUCUUUUGGGAGUUUUAACCAACUGGCCUCUCUCAUUUCUCUUCUUACCAUCACCUUACGAUGCCCACGAAUUUCCUUUCUCUCAUUUUGAUUGUAUCAGAUACAAGCGAUGGUAUCCUCUAAUUCUUGAACAUUCUCAUUAAUUGAUCAGAAGGACUUGAAUAGGAUUUGGGUAAAAAGGAUUUGGAUUGAAUUACAACUUUGGAAUCUUUCGCGCAAAACCAUCACCGAACCAUUAUAAUAUCUGCCUCAGAGAGAGGUUGUGUCAUGACCCAAAUUAAGACUGUGACCGACGCUCAGGAGCUAGUGCUCCCAAGUAAGCCUCAUCGGAAAUUUUACAGAAAAUCAGACAGAAUUUCCCCUGUUUUUGGACCACCCCAAAAAUUUUCCUGUCUCAAAUCAGCAACAAACAUCCUAAUAGCAUUUCAAAUGACAAUGACUUUAUCAAAUAACCAAAAUAAUCUACUUUUAACAGUUCACCCACUACCAACUAGAAAUACUACUAUAUCUCCAAAUUUUUAUAGGAAUGAGCGUUACUCAACAUAAGUCUAUAAUAACAAAGACUACUCAAGACACUAAAAGAAUGACCAUGGAGCGACUCUAAGAGUUCAAAAAAGACCAUGAAAAUAAAUAAAAUCUCUGCCCACGUGAACAAGUGCAAGGCUCACCGAGAACUAUCAAUCUGUGCGCUUUAAUUAACGAAAUCCUUGCCUGCGUCAGCUGCUGUCUCUGUAAAAAAAACUUAGCGGGGAAUGAGUCACUAGCUCAGUGAGUAAUAACACUUAACCACAACCGUUUUUAUUGGGAACAAGUCAGAAAACAUGCUAGUAUAUUAAACAAAAAAUAACAUAAGAAUGCCCUUUCGGAAACAAUAAAUAAUUUUCAGUCUCAUCAUGUUUUUUUUGUAAUAUAAUACACUUGACAAUUCUGUAAUAAGCUCGGUAACCACUGUAUAAUAUUAAUAUUCAUAUUUUGGUAGGUUUCAAUGAACGGAUCAUGUAAACGGCAUAACAGUGGACUUCUUUGCAAGAAGUCAUAUAUAACGGUAGUCCCUACUUGAGGAAAAUCGCUAACGGUAUGCUAGUUCUACCUUCCCACUAGCGAGGGCUAUAACGGUAACCGGUAAUUACAAGGUGCACCAAGUCUAACGAACCCACCGUUAUCUACAGGAUCCUUCAAUGGCUACUCCCAUUUAUAUUUGUCUCUGUAAUCCGUAUAUACUCGUAGAAACUAUUUUAAAACAAUAUAGGGCAUUUCGGUUCUUAUCAAAUCAUGAAAUUUCAUUUCGAUAACAGUAAAUUCAAGUAUCGAUAAAAACAUAUCUAGUAACGAUAAAAACAUUUAGGUUAACCGGUAACCAUCUCAAGUAAAUUAUUCGGUACUAUGCCAAGUAAAGGACUUGUCCCACUUGCAAAUUUCAAAGCAUCGAUAACACAUUUAUUUUCAAAAUCAUAUAUAAACCAUGCAAGUUAUUAAAACACAAAUUGUGGUAAGAUUACUACUCACAGUACUCGUGCGAAAUACCAAACUCUUCACCUCGACGAUCCGUACGACUUUCUUCAAUCAAUCUAUAACCACAUCAACACCGAUCUCGUGUUAAUUGCCUCAUUUAGGCUAAAUUCAUCACUAGUUUAGAAUAUCCAAUCCUCCGAGUUUUAUAUUUAACUCUUAAUUCGGCGAAUUAUAGUUACCAAAAUAUGAUUAAUUACUAAUCUAUCAACUCCAACCUAUUCAUAUAAUUUAUUAAUCCAAUAUCAUAAAGUUCUAUUGAUUCUUUAGGACGGAAAUUCUCAAUCGUUAUGUAAUAAUUAGCUAAUCAUUAGAAUUAAAAUUGAAGGCAAUAAACUUUGAAACAGUGUAUAGCAAAACCCGAAACACACCGUGUACUCUUUUCUUAACAUUAUGCACAUAACCUAUAUUUAAUUCAACUCCUUAAUAUGCAUAAUAAUUUCCAUCAUUAGACAAUUAUUACUCCACACACAUUCUGCCCCAAUUAUUAGGUAAUCAUCAUUCCCAAAAUUUAAAAGAAUAAAUCCCGUAGAAGAGUAGUAAUUUUUUUCUAGCAGCAUGUUUGUUUCUUCUAUAUCCAAUUCCCAGAAGUCAUUGCUAUAUUAUUCCCUUGUCUCCAGAUAAUUGGUAAGAUAAUUACAAACUAAAUUAUGUGUAAGGUUAGUGUCAUGUAUAGGGAUAAAUACCUGAAUUCUAGUUUCCUCCCUCACUUUUCUUCUCCAACUAUGGUCGUCGCUCACCCGAUUUCGCUUCUCUUCGUUCUAUUUUUUUUCUUUCUUUCUUAGCGUUUUGUAGCUUCUAUUGUUUAAUAGCAGAUUUGCUGCCUUUUGCCCUUUUCGUUUCUCUUUCCAAUGGGCUUUAGCCCAUUCUCCUAUUAUUAUUAUAUAUAUAUAUACUGGUUAAAGACUUAUAUCCCCUUAUUAAUAUAUAGGGUAUUACAGGCUGUCUACGUAUCCUUUCGGAAUCAAGUCAAACGUUCAAGAAACUUUGUUUUUUAUUUUCUUUUGUUUUUCUUUUGUUUUCUUUUCUUUUCUAUUUUUUUUCUUUUCCUUUUUCUUAUUUUUUUUUCAUUUUUCAUUUCAUUUUCUUUUGGUCAUUUUUUUUCAAUAACACUUUCAGGUUUCAAAGAGGGUAAUCAAAGGAAGGUAACCGGCUCAAAGGGUUGGAUAGCGAGAAAGAAAGCCUUCGUCAUCCCAAUCGGAGCAUUAAUGCUAGAUAGAAGAUCAAACAUAGUACCUUUUGACUGCACCAGCGUUGGCAGUUAUUUCAGGGAUAUUUCCUCCGAUAUUUUCCAAGUACAACGCUUUCUUUUGGCAGUACGCUCGUUACCAUCUAUGGAUCUUUCUAGUCUGAAGCCAAUUUUCCUUUAGUUGUUCCGAUUCUUUAUUUUAUUUCCUUAAACCUAUUUUCAUUGCAUUCUGAUUCUUGAUUUAUUAUUUCGAAGUCCAAUAGUGUUUUAGGAUCUGGGCAUGAAGUCUGCAAGCAUGUCAUGUCAUUAAAAAUCUGCAUUAACAGAACUGAAAAGAGAAUAAGAAAAGUGACAAAAUUAAGAACAAAGACAUCCCUGGAUAAUGAAAUAUUAAUUUCAUUAGUUUUUUUUUUGAAUUUUAAAGAUAGAAGAGUUUACAUCGGAAAGUAAGAUAAUAAAGUAAAAUAUCCGGAUCACACCCUGAGAUAAUCCAGACACAGAAAGGAUAACAAGACUGGCUAUCGAGACUCCCAUCUGAUGGGGGAACUUUCAGGCUUGGCGACCGUUUUUUGGCUUUUCUUCUGUCUCGGGAAUGGAUGCAAUGGCCUUCAGUGCCGGAUCAAAAUCCUCAUCUUCACAAAUAAUUCCGACUAUUGGCCCAGUGUUGUGAGCAGGCAACGGAUUGCUCGUCACGUCAGGAGCCUCUUUGUCUCGAAGAACGAUCCUUUCAGCUUCAAUCAAGUCUUCAACUGCCCUUUUGAGGGUCCAACAGUCCUCAGUACUGUGUCCCACUGCUCCGGAGUGGUAUUCACAUCUAGCAUCAGCUCGGUACGAGGGUGAAUCGGGGUUCGGCCAGUUUGGGGCCACUGGCUGUAACAGAUCUAGCUUGAAUAUCUUUUGGAACAAACUUGAAUAUGAUUCACCAAUAUGGGUGAACUGAUUCUUUCUGAAAGGCUCUUUUAGGCGAGGAUUGUACUGUGGAAUAUUUGGUUGGGGAUUAUAUGGAGCUUGGUAAGUAUGGCCAUUUCUGGGAGGUGGAGCUCGAUUUUGUGUAUAAUGUUGUGGCCGCGUGUAAGGUUGCACAUUCAUCACCAUAUAGGGAGGUGAUGCCACGGCAUAAGCAGCAUCUUGAUGGGGAUAAUAGUGUUGAGGGACCUCAGGAAGUAUAUAUGAUUGGUUGAAUGACCUGCGGGUCCUCCUCGAGCUCGAAGCCAUCAUGGCUCCCUCUUCUCUCCCAUUUCUGUUCAUCAAACGCUUCGAACCAUUCUGAGCAGCCUGUGAUAUGGCCUUAAUAGAAGCAUGACUCAAGAUUCUGCCCAUUUUUAACCUAUUUUCUACCAUCUCCCCAAUUUUGAUAGCCUCAACAAACGGCUUACCUAUAACAGACAUCAAGUUUUGGAAGUAGUCCGCCUCUUGAGCCUGUAGGAAGGCCGUAACCAUUUCAGCUUCGUUCAUUGGAAGCUUUACCCUGGUGGCUUGCUCGCGCCAUUUGACAGCAUAUUCACAGAAGCUUUCUGCUAUUUUCUUUUUCAAAUUGGACAAAGAGUUUAUGUCGGGAGCGAUGUCCAUAUUAUACUAGAAUUAAGAGUUUAUGUCGGGAGCGAUGUCCAUAUUAUACUAGAAUUAGCGAGCGAAAUCUCGGGCCAUAUCGUCCCACACAUGCCAAUGGCUAAUUUCUUGAUCCGUAUACAACUCAAAAACGAUUCCAGUGAGACUUUCUCCAAAAUAGGCCAUUAGCAGCUCAUGUUUUCCACCAGCAGCCCUUAGUUGGUUACAAUAUCUUCUCAAAUGAGCAACCGGGUCUUCAUACCCGUCGUACUUUUCAAAUUUUGGCAUCUUGAAAUCAGCUGGCAAGUGAACAUGGGGAAACAUACACGGGUCGUAGUAUAAAACCCUCUUUUGGCCACUCAGACCUUGCAUGUUUUUCAGACUUUGUUCCAUGCUCUUUAUCUUCCGAGCCAUUUCCUCUUGCUCGGGAUUCUUGACAACCUUUUCCUGUCCCAUCGAAGCGUCACAUUGUGGAGGUUGAGUAAAUGAGUAUGGGGUCACAUAUGUUAUUUCAAGUUGAAACUGUAGACUUUGAAAGGUGAACAUUGGAUGCUCAACAUACGGCCAUGGUAAAGUUGGUUGUGCUGUAGUGCAGAUUGGUGCUGUAGAGAACAUUGUUGGCAUUGCCUUUGAGACCGGCGCCUGGGGGCGAACCACAGAAGGCAUUCGGGGACCAUUAGACGGCAUUGGACGUACCCGCAUAGGAUAAACGGGUUGGGUACAAAGGCGUUGGUAGCCUCACCUGACUUGGGGAUCAACUUAGGGAACCUAGGGAUUGCACUUGGCGAUUCCCUACCAUUAGACCAGGCAUCCCACAUUUCCAAUAUGCGGAGACGCAACAUCCUAUUCUCUUCAGCAACUGCUGAUUCUGCUUGUGGAAUUGUCGAUGCUAGGCUAUCCUCAGGAUCGCUAAUUGGUAGAUCACUUUCGGAGGCCAUAGGAACCUUUCCUUUGGAUCUUGUAAAGUAAGGAUGAGAAACCAGAUUACCAACAAAACCAACUACCUGAACAGAACCUGGCUAAUUUCCACACCCAACAACCAUGUUAGUUUUGAGACGCUUAACAGAUCGGAAAUCGCAUGUCUGGAUACAAUGCACCUAAAUAGUUAAACACUUCUACCAUGUAUUUGAACGGUUGCAUAUUUCAUCCCGGCCUUAAACUAACCCUUUUUUCACUGUACCUCUUUUCUUUUAUUUCUGCCUCUAUUUUAUCAAUCUUGAUUUUUCUCUUUUUUCCGCUUUUUUUUUUGCACUCUCUUUUUCUCUUUUUGUUUUUGUCACUCUUUUUUUUUCCGCUUUUUUUUCCUUUUAUUUUUGUCACUCUUUUCUUUCUUUUUCACUCAACUUUUCUUUUUUUAUAUUAUUUUUUCACUCAAUUAAUUUUAUGGCUAUGAUCGAAUCCAAUGGGGAUUGCCUACAUAUCAUGACACCGCACUAAUCAGAUAUUUUACGUAGUUCAGGAAUACUAGGAACAAGGUAAAUGCGUUAACCCUUUUUAUAAUUUAUUCAAUAUUUUUAAAUAGGCAAAUCAUACCUCAAAAUCUUCUAACAAGGAAAACAUUUUGGAUUUUGGAUUUUGAUUUUUUUUUGGAAAGAAAAACUUCUAAAAAUUCUUUUUUGUUUUGAACUUUCGGAAAUUCAAAAGUAAAAAUAAAAUAUUUUUGUUUGAAUUUUCAUUUGUUUUCUCUUUUUCUAAAGAAGAAAAUAUUUUUGAAUUUUAGAUGUUGCCUCUUAAUUUUUGAAAGAGGGACUUUUAAGAAAAUAUUUUGGAUUUAUGAGUUUUUUUUUAAUUUACAAAAGUACUUCUAAAGAAAAGUGAAAAUAUUGUUGGACUUUAAUUUUUCAAUUUUUUAUGACAUUUACGAAGAAAAACUUUUAAAGAAGGAAACGAGUGGAUUUUCGUUUUUUUUCUUUUUGGAAUUUUUGGGAAAAAUACUUCAAAAUAAAGGAAACCCGUAUUUUGGAUUUUGAUUUUUGAUUUUUCUUUUCUUUUUUCGUAUGAAAGAAUUUGGAAAGAAGAAAAAUAUUUUUGGGUUAAAAACCUUUUUUUCUUUUAAUUUUUUAAGGAAAGACUUCUAAAGAAGGAAUUAAGGAAUCGAAAAAUAUUUUUGGAUUUUCUUUUUUUGAAAACUGGGUCUCAAAGAAAGAUUUCCAAAGAAGAAAUAAGAAUUAUUUUAUUUUUUUAUUUUUAUUUUUUGGAUUUUGAAAAAUAGGACAGGAAUCAAUGAGGUUUGCCUACGUAUCUCACAUCCAGUGAGAAACAAACCCGCAUAGUUCGGUCAGUUUUGACGCAACAGGAAAAUAUGACUUUAUGAAAAUAUUGGCUUAUUUUUUUUUUGUUAAAAAAUUUCGGUAGAGUUUCGAAUUUCAAAUACUCCUCUCACUCUUGUUUUUUUUUAUUUAUUUUUUUACCUAUUCUAGAAGCCAGUCAACAUGCAAACUGAAACAAACAGAUGCGCAAGUAGCACUUAAGAUGCAUCAGGAUGGACUUUUAAUUCGGGUACACCUAUCCUAGACGGACCCAACCCCUGUGUUGAGUCCCCAAAGUCAAAUGCACGUGAUGCAAACAAACGUUCCUACUAGGAAUCCAUCAUGAGGCUAUGUUCUUCUAAGUUAAAAUUCUGGGUGUAUUAUUUUAGAACUGACUUACCCGAGCGGACAACUUGAGUCGGGGGGGAGGGGAGGUGCAGCAUACUGGGAAUACAGAAGCUUCACCGGCUUUGCAACUUGUCCGAACCUCGUUCUAAAUUAGGUUAUGAUACUAACAGAAAAGAAGUCACGCCAGCGUGCACUUCCCAGAAGAUUUAGAAGACUGAGAGAGAAGAAGGGUUUCGUAACAGGUUAUAUACAAUUCACACAAUAUCAAAGCGGUAAAAAGCGGCAUUUAGCACAUUAGGCUCAAACACGUAAAAAUCAGAUAAUAAAUAAAAGCCAACUAUAAUAGUUAUUCUAAGCUCGAAUUAUGAACUCUGAACCAGAGAUUCUAGGUUCUUCUCCCCAGCAAAGUCGCCAGAGCUGUCACACCUUUUUUUUCACGAAGGGAUAGGGGAGUUUUUCCAAUUUAAGUGUCGAAAUGGAAUUAUUUAUUUGAUUUCAGAGUCACGACUUGGAAUAUUUACAGUGUCCCAAGUCACCGGUUUAUUUUAAAAUCCCAAAUCGAGGAAAUUUGACUCUGUUUUAAAGUUUGCGAACACAGAAAAUCGGGUAAGAAAUUCUGUUAACCCGGGAGAAGGUGUGACGCACUCCCGAAUUUCGUAGUUGUAGCACAGUCGCUAAACUAUUAAUAAUUGGCCUAAUUAUCUAAUUAAUUACAUGUUUAAAAUUAUUGUGCACUUUUAUCUUCUAACCGCCUUUUAAUUAUUCAAUUAAAUGCUUUUAGUAUUUAUGGAGUUUAUUUAAAUAAGUUGCGAUAUCUCGCACUUAUUAUUUUUUGUACACAUUGUGAAUCGCGUCACGUGAAACGCACCUGUGAUCCACAAUAUAUUUAUUUUGUUAUUGUUAUUUUGAGUUAUGGUCGAGUCACGUGACGCCCACACUCGAAUUGGGGUUUACAUAUCGUGACCAUGCCACGGGAACCAUACCCAUGGUCAUGAUGAUUUAUUUAAUCGUACCUAAAGCAAACUACAAUUGUUCAAAAGUUGCUUAAUUUUCCUACGUUUGGAAUCAAGCGUGAAAGCCAAAAGCCAUGGAGCUUUUCACCGCAGAUUCUAAAUUUCUACCUUUCAACACUACCCCUAAUUUAGCAACCACAAAUUCCUUAUGAAUCACUUACAUCCAUUUAACUGAUUUGAACAAUUCAAUUUAACGUUGUGGUCACAAAGGACAAAAUAUCACCAACAGUAAGGUCGUUUAACAGAAAGAAAAAUUUCAGUAUAGAGACUAUUAACAACCAAGAAAUUUAGACUUGAAAACCAUCUGGUCAUUAAAACUUGACAUCUCCCAAAAAAGAAGUAAUUCCAAAAUAAGCUUUAUAGACUACAACACAGGCAUAGUUUCAUUGAAUCCAUAAUACAGUAUGUUGUGCUUGUAUCAAACAAUUAAUAUGCAACAACAAAACUUCAGCAAUGUCCCGAUCAAUAGAGCACUUCUACAACUAAUGUUGAAGAAAUGUACCAGAAAUUUCAAGCCACACUAGCACCACUAUUUCACAAAACCGGCAUAACAGAACAUCGAACAAAACUACACUUAAACAGAGAAUAAUUCCAGUUUAACAUUCAAGCCAAAAUGAGCAACAAACUAAAAUAGAUGAAUCAUAAUCGUAUUCAGUGACGAAUUUAUGAAAUCAGUUGGGAAUAUGGCUUGAAUAACUCAGAUCUUCAUUCAUAGAUUUGAAGCGAAAAACAGAUGAAUAUUUACAUACCUAAUUGCCGAAAAUCUAGAAAUGGAAGAUGAAUCUCGAACUCCUCUAAAUCGAACAAAGAAUGAGGCUGAAGUGAGCCAAAUGAAGGCCGAAAAUAGCGGAUGAUGCUCAAGCCAACAGCAAAGAGAAGCAGCAGCGAGUUCCUCAGCAAACCAGAAAGUUAAUACCGAAAUCCAGAAGAAAAUGGAAGCUCCUUGUUCAAAUUCUAGUUUUCCUUUCUAAUUUGGAGCUUUUUGAGUUUUCCAGAUCUGGGAUUCAAGAAUUUUUAAUGUCUUUCAUGCGGUGAAGUGAAGAAGAAAGAACCGCCAUGGGAGGGGAGGGUCCGUUUAGUUUUUUCUUUGAAAUGGAGGGAAAGUCCACGUGGAGAAGACGAUGAACAAGGCGACGACGCUGCUAGGUUAGGAAAUGAGGGUCCAAUAUUUCAUCUCUACUUCUAUGUGUGUGUUGUGUAUGGUGUCGCCGAUUUUUGAUGGUGUGUAGCUAAGGUAUGGAGCAUUUUUCAUGUGGAGUUAAAAGGGUGGGAACGGCUGGCUCUAGGGUUCCCAAAUGGGGG